rnacentral:rRNA from 1 species
AGGGCAAGUCUGGUGCCAGCAGCCGCGGUAAUUCCAGCUCCAAUAGCGUAUAUUAACGUUGUUGCAGUUAAAAAGCUCGUAGUUGAAGUGUGGGUGAUCGCUGUUGUGAGACUUCGGUCUCUCGAUAGUAAGUCACCCCCUUCCAGUAUCCAGUAGUGGGUAUUCACUUACUUACUACUGUGUGUUGGUCAUUUACUGUGAGAAAAUUAGAGUGUUCAAAGCAGGCGUUUGCUUGAAUAGAUUAGCAUGGAAUAAUAAUUGAAGGCUUUCGUGUUCGAUUUGAUUGGUUUGUUCAUGGAAGCAAGGUUAAAAGGAACAGUUGGGGGUAUUCAUAUUCACUAGUUAGAGGUGAAAUUCUCGGAUUUAUGGAAGA